AUGGUUUUAUCUCCUGCGGUGGAAAUUUUAGAAGCAUGCCAAAUUCACCCCGAUGCAGACUCAAAAAGCGAUUCUACCCUUCAAGAUUGCAUCGCCCUCUCUUAUUUUGACCUGCAGUACCUCCACUUCCCUCCGACAGAGCGACUAUUAUUUUACGAAGUCCGCCCACCUGUGUUCGCCGAUGAAAUCCUAUCGAGUCUCAAACGUUCUCUCUCUCUCACCCUGGGGUACUUCCGUCCGAUUGCCGGAAAAUUGGUCUGGCCAUCCGACUCGAACGAGCCUUUCAUACAAAUCGAGGAAGACGAUUCGAUACCGUUAACAAUUGCCGAAUCCAACGUGGACUUAGACUUCUUCUGCAGCGCUACUCCACGGUGCGCGACGACGUACCGCCCUCUAAUACCUCAACUACACAACUCUGAAACGGAGACAGGUCUCAUGGCACUGCAGAUUACGAUCUUCCCAAACCAUGGAUUCUGCAUCGGCGUGACCUACCACCACGUGGCCCACGACGGGAAAGGUCUGUCGCUCUUCUUGAAAUCCUGGGCCAACAUCUGUAAGAAUAGGUGCACGGAUAGUUUGCCACUGGAGUUGACCCCAGUCUACGACAGAGCCUUGAUCGACGACCAGUAUAACAUCAAGGAGCUCCUUUUGAAUAAUGUAAGUGCGUACAAAAAUACGAACUUAAAAUUACGAGAAAUCGAUUACGAAGAAUAUGUCCGUGGACAAUUUACUUUGACGUCAUCAGCAAUAGACAGGCUCAGGGAGUUGGUAACCCAGCAGCAGGGAUCUCCUUGUAAAAUGUCCACCUUCGUUCUGGCUUGUGCGCAUCUAUGGGUGUGCCAUGUAAAAACACACAUGCUGAUCGACAAGAGAGUCUAUUUCGUCUGCGCGGCCGACCUUAGGAGCAGGCUGCAGUUCCCAGUACCGGCUACUUAUUUCGGGAACUGUGUGUUUCCUUGCAUCGCGAGUGCCGCGGGAAAUGAUCUUAUGGGAGAGGACGGUCUAAUACUGGCAGUGGAAGCCAUCAGCGAAGCCCUCAAAGGGUUGGGGGUUGACCCCGUCCCGGGGGAUGUCAAGAAGCUUUCGUUACGACCUGAUCUGUUCGAGGAGAUGAGGGUUUUGUCCCUGGCGGGGUCACCGCAGUUGCGGCUCUACGACACGGAUUUCGGGUGGGGGAGGCCAAGGAAGGUCAAAGUCGUGUCCAUCUCGAGGAACGGAGAGAUCUCGUUAUCGGAGAGUCGCGAUGGUAGCAGAGGAAUGGAGAUUGGUCUCAUGAUGACGGAAGAAAAGCUUAGAAUAUUUUCUUCUCUAUUCGCUGGAGGAAUUGAAGAUCUUUUAAAAUAA
rnacentral:lncRNA from 1 species